CCAGAAAACAGCUGUCUGCCUCCUGUUCCUGUUUGUUUUCUCAAGUGCCUCCAACAGCAAACUUGCACCCUUCAUCUGCAGUGAUGUCAAGACAGAAUAUAACAAAACGGCAGCAAUUUCAUGCAUUGGCAGCAAGAAGAUUACAAAUGUGGUAGUUAAGCGCUGUGAUAACUGUAAUGAACAGAACUCGUGCUCAGAAAGUUUUAUUAACACGUGGAAAGGAAAGGAUUCCAGUGAAAAGGGAAGAAUUCAGUUGGUGCUACAACACAACGUUUCUGAAUUGCACAUACAGGAAGUAAAAGCAACUGAUCAAGGAGGUUAUAAAUGGUAUAUUUAUUCUGAUGCUGGGGAAGACGAUGGAUGUAUAACCCUUGAGAUUACAGCUCCAGAAAUUGAGCCUAUCCUAACUAGAAACGGAAGAAAGCUCGCCUGUCUGUCAUCUAUAGGGCAUCGAGAAAGGCAGAUCCAUUGGUUCGAUGGCCACGAGACUAACCUGACGGGCAGUGCAAGCCUGGUAUCUGAGGAAGCAGAAGGUGGUUUAACCAGCCUUACCAGCACUCUCCAUGAGAAACCCACCUUAACUGCCUCCGAGUAUUGCUGCACUGUGGUGUAUGAUGUGCACGCCAAGAGAAGCAAAACCAAGUGCAUUAGUGCCCACAAAGCAGUCGCCGAUUACCUUCAUUUUACUUCAAACCCAGAUCAGGAAAUUCUGAAGACCAUGGAAGCUCAGGAAAUUCCAAAGACCAUGGAAGAGCACAUUCCCAUCAUUCUAGUGCUCAUCGUUCUGGUUCUCUGCUGUUUUGCAGCUGUUCUAUACUACAGGCACCGCCAGCGAGAUGAAAACGUAGAAGAAAAAUCACUUAACCAAGAAGUGUGAUGUGUGAAAAUAAGAUGGCUCCUGAAUGAAAACGAUGAUCCAACCUGCACCAAUGCAACUGAAUUUAAGCAAAGCAGUAGAUACAGAAACUCAAAGAUUUAGUACAUCAUGCUAAGCAAUUAAACAAUGUGAAGCAACUAGCAUUUUAAAGACUUUUUUUGUCAGACAUCCCCCGUUUUGCAGACAGAAACCAACAGAACUCCACUGGCCAUCACCUACAGUCCUCAGCUUAAACCUCUCCA
rnacentral:lncRNA from 1 species